GUGGUCGUAGCUCAAUGGUAGAGCGCUGCCCUGUGGAGGCAGAUGUUGCGGGUUCAAAUCCCGUCGAUCACCCCA
rnacentral:tRNA from 4 species